AGAGAGAGAGAGAGAGAGAGAGACCAUUUUCAUGAAUGUAAAUAGGAGGAUUGCCAUAAACUUGCUUUAAGUACUCCAGUGCGGCUUGAAGACCACAAGGCUUUAUGGGAAACUGAGCAAGACAGAGCAUGGUUAGUGACAAAAUAAAAUCCAAACAUUUUAUCAAAUAUAUUAGAUCUUACCUCAUGUGCUGAUGAAUUCACCUGAUCAGCUGCCAAAAAUGAGAGACAGAAAAGAAGAAGAUGUUACUAAGCAAUUCAAGUUCUUUGAAAAUUCGUCAUAGAAUGAAGUCAAUAAGCUUUUUUCGUUCGUAUACAUUCACAUAUAUAAACCAAGAAAAGAGCGAGGUUGACAUGAUAAAGCUCAGGAUAUCAAAGCCUAGGUAACUAGAACACCAAGUGUUUCCUUCCAAUUAAGGAUGGUAGUGAUUUGCGAAGAGCUUACAAAUAAACUUUACUGCCAUAUCUGCCAAAAAAUCUCUAUUUUCCAAUUUCAAAGUGUCAGUUAUCAGUAACAUAAUCUGUGCUGUAAUGAUUCAGUCCCAGGAAGUCAAAUGCACCCUUAACCUGUUUGGAUUCAUAAUCACUGAAGGCUGGUAACCUUAAGCCUGCAUUGUUCUUUACUGCGUAGGGAUUGUCUCCAAACACCAAAGGAUUCAGUAUCAGGCCAAUAAGAAAGUCAAGGGCUCUUCGAGUCGCAAUUGUAUCCUCUGUUGAAUUUGUUAGAGGAAUAGGCCACGAAACAAAAAAGUUAAGCCCUAUAAAUCCGAGUUGCUUGUCCUGCAUCACCUGAUAGUUUUCCCUGUACAAUCUCACAGUUGAUGCAUGUGCCAACAACAAAUGAUGGGCAACCAAGUAUGGCUCAGAUGAGGAGUUGCCUUUGGUGCAGUUUAACCCAAAUGGAGGAGAGCAACGCUCGGGUGGCAAGUGUCCCGUAUCAUAACCGCCCAAUACAUCGACAUUAGGCUCAUUCAAAGUAGUCCAGUAUGCAACCCUAUCACCAAAAUCUCUGAAACACACAUCCGCAUAAUAUGCAAAAUCUUUCACAAUCUUUCGGCUAACCCAUCCUCCAUACUCAUCUUCAAGUGCCUGUGG
rnacentral:misc_RNA from 1 species